GAUGAACGCUGGCGGCGUGCCUAAUACAUGCAAGUCGAGCGAACAGAUAAGGAGCUUGCUCCUUUGACGUUAGCGGCGGACGGGUGAGUAACACGUGGGUAACCUACCUAUAAGACUGGGAUAACUUCGGGAAACCGGAGCUAAUACCGGAUAAUAUUUCGAACCGCAUGGUUCGAUAGUGAAAGAUGGUUUUGCUAUCACUUAUAGAUGGACCCGCGCCGUAUUAGCUAGUUGGUAAGGUAACGGCUUACCAAGGCGACGAUACGUAGCCGACCUGAGAGGGUGAUCGGCCACACGGGAACGGAGACACGGUCCAGACUCCUACGGGAGGCAGCAGUAGGGAAUCUUCCGCAAUGGGCGAAAGCCUGACGGAGCAACGCCGCGUGAGUGAUGAAGGUCUUCGGAUCGUAAAACUCUGUUAUUAGGGAAGAACAUACGUGUAAGUAACUGUGCACGUCUUGACGGUACCUAAUCAGAAAGCCACGGCUAACUACGUG
rnacentral:rRNA from 1 species